CGCUGUACAACUAGAUACAAUUUGAUAUAUACUGCUUUGACAAAUAACCAAAGUUGGACACAAUUUUGAAGAGAAAGAUGUCACAAUAACCAGUAAAUCAUUAUGUGAUACUUUUUACAAGUAGUAUCUCAUUGAGGAUAGAUUUAGUAAUAGAUAGUUAUCAUAGAUAUACUAUUAUACACAGUACCUUCAGACAUACCUUCUGCUACUGGUUAAAACGCCAGUAGUUGUCUUGUGGUGGCGGUGGUGGUAACAGUGGUGGUGGCGGUGCGCUAUACUGACCCAUGCACACCCCCACACAGCCAUAAACACUAAAAAAAACACUCUUAUAUACCGAAAAUACUCGUAAACACACUCAAAAUACCCCAACAUACAUUCAGAACAUGUCUACACACACACAGAAGUGAAGUGAAGUGUUGCUAUAUUACCGACAAAUUUCAAGCAGCACCAAGCACCAGUACCAAACACCAAGCGGCAAGACAAGCAGUGCAAGCCUUCGCCACAACCCUCCACACUGCCUUAUCUUUAUCAAUUAAAGGUCCGCCGCCUGUUCCCGUUGUUGUCUCCGGGCUGCCGCCUCCCCCGCCGUCCUCCAGCCGUUACCAUCCCGCCAACAGCCUGUAGAGUCAAAUACUUUUUUCAAGUAUUUCCUAACGUUCUUAACUUAUUCUGCCGAGCGCUGGAGGGAGAAGAGAGUGCCGGUUGCUAGUUCACUGAGGACAAAUGGCGACGACAACCCCUAGCUUCUCAGCGAGAGCGGCGGUGUGACGUACUUGUGCUGCAGGACGGCAAGACGUACGAGUUAUGUCAGCGCCUCCUUAAUUAUACAGGCGAGUAUGAGGACAAGGUCGGUGUGAUUUAUUAUGUUAUGAAAAAAUAUACUUGUGUUCUGUGAUAGGAUUAUAUUAGGGAUUAAGAAGUAUGGGUGGGUGGGGUUUGGUGAGGUGCAGGGUGGUGGUGUAGCAGUUGGAAAUUUAUGUCAGUUACAAAUGAUCUGUC